rnacentral:sRNA from 1 species
AAUGGGAUUUCAAAUGAGGAAUACUUUGCCAAGUUGUUGAAUGCUCAGAUUUUUCUGGGUUUUAUGAUUCACUUGUAUAGGAAGAUCUGAUGAUUUCCUUUUGCAUUGUGUUUUUGUUUUUUGUUUGGGAAGCCAGUGAUGAUUAGAUUCAAUGGUUGCUGAACAUUCAA